GAGACCUCAGGUCAGGCGGGGCUACCCGCUGAAUUUAAGCAUAUCAAUAAGCGGAGGAAAAGAAACUAACAAGGAUUCCCUUAGUAACG
rnacentral:rRNA from 1 species